AAUAUGUCUAACCUUACAAUUUUUUAUUGUUUUUUUGGAGGUCAAAAGGGGUCUGAACGAGUUUCCAAUUAUCUCAGAAAUACAAAUCAUUCUCAUCCAGUUGUACUCACUGCUUCGCCCUCCGAUCUGCCACUCCACCACCAUGAUUUCUCCUUUCGAUUUUUGAAGUUCCGAAGCUAAGCCCAAACCAAACCCGACCCACCGCUGAGACUGUCGUCAUUGUGAAAUGGGUAAAUCAACAUCCUCUCUGCUUCUUAUAUGCAAUCGUUUGAUUAUUAGAGUAAGCCUUCCAUUUCGUGCUUUUACUUCUCAUUAUUGUUCUACUAUUAGAGAAAAUGCGAAAGCCCCAUAUCAGAAACGGAAUCAGUUGUUGAAUUCUGUGAGAGAUCACUGCAAAUCUGGAACCUUUAAAAAUCUUGAUCAUGCCUUAGGCCUGUUUGAUAUAAUGCUUCGCAUGCACCCUUUGCCUUUCAUUGGAUAUUUUAAUCAAUUGUUGGGUGCGGUUGCAAGAAUGAAGCAUUACUCUGUAGUAAUUACUCAAAUUAAACGAAUGGAAUCAUUCGGAAUCUCUCCCAAUGUUUAUACUCUCACUGUUUUGAUUAAUUGCUACUGCCAUAUGAGUUGGGUCGAUUUUGGAUUCUCUGUCUUAGCAACAAUUUUGAAACUUGGUUAUCAACCAAAUCAUAUAACUCUAACCACUCUUGUCAAUGGGCUGUGUCUUCGAGGUAACAUUGCUGGAGCUGUUAGGCUGGUAGAAGAAAUGGAGAAUAAAGGUUAUGAACCUGAUGUAAUUACUUGUAAAACAUUAGUGAACGGUCUGUGUAAGAUUGGGGAGACUGGUGUGGCUAUUAGGUUGCUCAGGAAGAUGGAGAAAGGGGGUUUUGAACCCGAUGUGGUGCUCUAUAGCAUGGUCAUUGACAGUUUAUGUAAGGACAGAUUGGUAAAUGAUGCUUUGAACCUUUCAUCUGAAAUGAUGAGUAAAGGCAUUCAGCCAAAUGUUGUCACUUACAAUUGCUUAGUUCAAGGACUAUGCAAUUCUGGCCGGUGGAGGGAGGCUGCUACCUUGUUGAAUGAGAUGGGACAAAGGAAGAUCAUGCAAAAUGUGCGAACCUUCAGCAUACUGGUGGACACACUUUGCAAGGAAGGGAUGUUGACUGAGGCAAAAUAAGUUUUUGAAGUGAUGAUUCAAAGAGGCAUUGAGCCUGACAAAGUCACUUACAAUUCUUUGAUUGAUGGUCAUUGUUUGCAAAACCAAAUGGAUGAGGCAGUUAAGACAUUUAAUAUGAUGGUUGAGAAGGGUUGUUCACCCGAUGUGUUUAGCUAUAACAUAUUGAUCAAUGGAUAUUGCAAAAGUAAAAAAAUUGAUGAGGCAAUGCGUAUCUUUCAUGAAAUGUCCAACAAGGGAGUGAUUCCUAAUGUUAUGACUUACAACACUCUUAUUGAUGGGUUUUUCAAAGUGGAGAGACCCCAGGCUGCACUGGAGCUAUUCCAUAAGAUGCAAGCUUGUGGCCAACAUCCAGAUCCCCAAACCUAUGCCAUCUUGUUAGAUGGAUUUUGUAAGAAUAGACGAAUUGUUGAGGCAAUGGCAUUGUUUCAGGAGAUGGAAGAAAAAAAGUUGGACCACAAUAUUGUGUUUUACAACAUCUUGAUUGAUGGUUUCUGCAAUGUUGGGGAACUUACAACUGCAAGAGAAAUCUUUAGCAGUCUUUUUGCAAAAGGAUUGCAACCUAAUGUUCGGACUUACACUAUAAUGGUCAAAGGGUUUUGCAAAGAGGGGCUAAUUGAUGAAGCGAUCGAGUUGCUUGAGAAAAUGGAAGGCAAUGGUUGUUCACCUAACGAGCACACAUAUAACACAUUAAUCCAAGGGUUAUUGCAACAUGGUGAGACAGCAAAGGCAAUGAAAUAUCUCAAAAUGAUGGUUGACGAGGGAUUUUCAGCAAACGCAACAACUGCUGCCAUGUUUAUUGACUUGCUGUCAUCUAAUCAAGUAGAUGAAAAUAUUCGAGAGCUGCUUCCAAAGUCUGGGUGAAGGGGAAGUUAUAAAACUUGUGGUGUUUCAGGUACAAAUCUGAUUUUUAGUGAAUGCUCAUCAAUGUUGAGGCUGUCCUAGUCUUCUGCAUAAUUUUUGUUUUUGCACUUGCAGGGAAGCCUUUGAUAGGCAACAAUAAUCUAUAAAAGGGAACCUAAAUCAAGGCCUUGUGAAAUGUAUGAGCUGACAAGGUAGGAAGAGCUUACGAAUACUACUAUUAAAAUGGCUGAACAGAGUAAAGUUCUUAACACCCCUGGGGCAGAGAAACAAACCAAAAGAGAGUUGUUUGAUGCGCUAAGGCAGGAACUUGAAGCUCCAGUGCUGGAGAAAGCUUCUAAAUCAGUUUGGGAGCUAAUUUUGGACAGUAAUGGUCUGGGGAAGGAAAUUAGUGAGAUGGUUGAAAAGGUAUUUUCUUGAUUGAGUGGCCGGGAACCUCCAUUGUUUCCCCUGCCAGACGGUGAGACUCAUACUAAUAAAGAAAUUGAGAAUGAAAAAGAAAAAGGAAAAGGAAAAGAAUGGGCUAAUGAAAACAAAGAAAAGGAGUUUUAGUGAAUUGAAUGCAGGAGGUGCAUGUGAAGCUGCAAGUAUAUCUGGUGAUCCUCCAGCCAUACUAGAAGAUUCUAGUAAAUCACCCAACCAAGUUUGAAGACAUGAGUCACUAUGUCAUGCCAAUAGCUUUGUGGCUCAAUGCCAUUACUGUUUUUCUCAAGAGCAGAACCUGGGUUCAAACAUCACCUCCCCCACU